UGCAAAUUCCAUCAUGCUAGCGGCGCCAUGUUUGAAUAUACAGAGCGGUUACUUUUGAAGAAGACAAGACAGGGCAUGCAAAGCCUUUCAUGCAUGCUGAAUUGAUGGGCAUGGUCUGUUAUCUGGAACGUCGUAGAUAUGAUGACCCAGCGGAGGGACCCUCCUACCAGAGAAAAUCACAAAUCCUGCAGAGAUUAUCCCGCAAACUGGAAAAACUUUAUGGUACAAAUAGAAGCACGAGGCAACUCCAAAAAUGAUUCUCUGACUUAAAAGUCAGACAACCAAACUUACUUCAUGAAAUCUAUAAGGAGAUCAUCGAGGCUAAAGGGGAUACAAACGAUCCUUCAACAUCUGGAUUAACCUAGCCUAGUAAUAAAUCAAGCCUUGGCACAUCAAUUUCUCAAGACUCCGAACAACAUUUUGAUGGGGUAAUUUGUUUAUAAUGGUUGGCUUUGUGUGUGAUU